GCUAUACCCUGCAGGAUAGUGGCCCUGUAGGACCGGAGUUACCUAUCCCUGUUUUAUGGCAAAUCACUAGGCAUUGUGUGUUACACUUAAAAUGAAUUAUAGGCAAGCAUUACAUCUUGGUAGAUUCUAAAGCAUUUAGAUGAAUUGUCCUGAUGGGCCUCAUUUCUCAAGAAAAACAUCCUGUUUCAGUCAUUUCAGUGGGUGGGGAACAACACAGGACAUCUGAAAGAGAUGGAUGUUGGUGGAGACCGUGUGAGAGAUGAAGUGAGCCCAUAUAUAAGGAAAAGGUCCAACCUUGUCACUUGUCAAGGGCUUCCUUGAGAUGUGCCCUUUGACAUGGAGAACAUACUGUACCAGAGGACAGAAAUGGAGUUACAGCCUCCCUAGAAGUGAAUCAAGAAGACAGACAACCAAGAAGCAUCAUGAUUUACAUAGCAACCAACAUUUUUCAUUCAACAUUUAAAAUAUGAUAGCUAGGGGGCGGAACUGUACAGCCUAAUGUUAGACAGAAAGCUAUGCAUUUUUAAAGGUCAUGUCUGCAACACGAGAAAUACUUUCUAGUUUGCACAUUGAAGGGUAAAUAUGUGUAGUGAAUUUAAUGGCAGACUAAUUAUGACAAACAUUAUUUGGAUGUAUAUGCAAAGCGUCAGAUGAUCUGACCUUUCCUAGUCUGUGGAAAUGGCAUACAGGCAACAUAUCAAACAGAAGCAGCACUUCUAUCAUUGGCAUCAAAGUUUCAGCUGUAGGCCUUGAGCUAUUAUUAGUUCUCCAGAUGCCUGUAAUGGCUGGUAUUUAUGAAAUGACAUGAAGGAGUGUUGAGAGCGUUUGGGAAAGUCAUAUGUUGGCCAACUGUUCUACUGUAAACAGUGCGGAGUGAAACUGAAUCGUACAACAUUUUAACCAAAUGGAAUGCCAAAUUAAAAUAUUACAAUA